UGGGAGGGAGCACCAGCAGGUGUUUCCAGGCCUUCUGCAGGGAUAUGGGGAGGGAGCACCAGCAGGUGUUUCCAGGCCUUCUGCAGGGAUAUGGGGAGGGAGCACCAGCAGGUGUCUCCAGGCCUUCUGCAGGGAUAUGGGGAGGGAGCACCAGCAGGUGUUUCCAGGCCUUCUGCAGGGAUAUGGGGAGGGAGCACCAGCAGGUGUUUCCAGGCCUUCUGCAGGGAUAUGGGGAGGGAGCACCAGCAGGUGUUUCCAGGCCUUCUGCAGGGAUAUGGGGAGGGAGCACCAGCAGGUGUCUCCAGGCCUUCUGCAGGGAUAUGGGGAGGGAGCACCA